rnacentral:rRNA from 1 species
UGCUAUCUGCAGUCGAGCGAAUCAUAGGAGCUUGCUCCUGUUGAUUAGCGGCGGACGGGUGAGUAACACGUGGGCAACCUGCCUGUAAGACUGGGAUAACACCGGGAAACCGGUGCUAAUACCGGAUAAUCCUUUUCCUCUCAUGAGGAAAAGCUGAAAGUCGGUUUCGGCUGACACUUACAGAUGGGCCCGCGGCGCAUUAGCUAGUUGGUGAGGUAACGGCUCACCAAGGCGACGAUGCGUAGCCGACCUGAGGGUGAUCGGCCACACUGGGACUGAGACACGGCCCAGACUCCUACGGGAGGCAGCAGUAGGGAAUCUUCCACAAUGGACGAAAGUCUGAUGGAGCAACGCCGCGUGAGCGAUGAAGGCCUUCGGGUCGUAAAGCUCUGUUGUUAGGGAAGAACAAGUACCGGAGUAACUGCCGGUACCUUGACGGUACCUAACCAGAAAGCCACGGCUAACUACGUGCCAGCAGCCGCGGUAAUACGUAGGUGGCAAGCGUUGUCCGGAAUUAUUGGGCGUAAAGCGCGCGCAGGCGGUCCUUUAAGUCUGAUGUGAAAGCCCACGGCUCAACCGUGGAGGGUCAUUGGAAACUGGGGGACUUGAGUGCAGAAAAGGAAAGCGGAAUUCCACGUGUAGCGGUGAAAUGCGUAGAGAUGUGGAGGAACACCAGUGGCGAANGCGGCUUUCUGGUCUGUAACUGACGCUGAGGCGCGAAAGCGUGGGGAGCAAACAGGAUUAGAUACCCUGGUAGUCCACGCCGUAAACGAUGAGUGCUAAGUGUUAAAGGGUUUCCCCCUUUAGUGCUGCAGCUAACGCAUUAAGCCCUCCCCCUGGGGAGUACGGC